rnacentral:rRNA from 1 species
GUCUUUUAGAUAAUAAUUUAAAGUCCRACCYGCCCRCUGAAUUUUUAAAGGGCCGCAGUAUUUUGACUGUGCUAAGGUAGCAUAAUCAUUAGUUUUUUAAUUGAAAGCUAGAAUGAAUGGUUUAAUGAAAAAUUAAUUGUCUCAAUUUAAUAAGUUGAAUUUUAUUUUUAAGUAAAAAAGCUUAAAUAUAUUUAAAAGACGAGAAGACCCUAUAGAGUUUGAUAAAUUUUUUAAAUAAUUUUAAUUUAGUAUUAAUUUUUUUUUAUAAAAUUUAUUUGGUUGGGGUGAUUUAAAAAUUUAAUUAACUUUUUAUUUUUUUUUUACAUUUAUAUAUGAAUAUAUGAUCCAUAUUUAAUGAUUAUAAGAUAAAUUACCUUAGGGAUAACAGCGUAAUUUUACUAGAAAGUUCUUAUUGAWWGUAAAGUUUGCGACCYCGAUGUUGGAUUAAAAUUAAUUUUUGGKGCARAAGCUAAAACUUUAAGUCUGUUCGACUUUUAAAAUUUUACA